UUUCUGUUCCUGCAGCAGCGGUGCUGAGCGAAGUGGGAGCUUUGAAAAAUUAAAUAGUACUUCCUAGACCCAUCAAGAAGGAGAAUGUCUGUGACACUGCAUACAGACGUGGGGGAUAUCAAGAUAGAAGUCUUCUGUGAGAGGACACCCAAAACAUGUGAGAAUUUCUUGGCUCUUUGUGCCAGUAAUUACUACAACGGCUGUGUGUUUCAUAGAAAUAUCAAGGGCUUCAUGGUUCAAACAGGAGAUCCAACAGGUACUGGAAGAGGAGGUAGCAGUAUAUGGGGCAAGAAGUUUGAGGAUGAAUACAGUGAAUAUCUGAAGCACAAUGUUCGAGGUGUUGUAUCUAUGGCUAAUAAUGGCCCAAAUACCAAUGGAUCUCAGUUCUUCAUCACCUAUGGCAAGCAGCCGCACUUGGACAUGAAAUAUACAGUGUUUGGGAAGAUAAUAGAUGGUCUGGAGACUUUGGAUGAAUUGGAGAAGUUACCA